rnacentral:rRNA from 1 species
UACGGAGGGUGCAAGCGUUAUCCGGAUUUACUGGGUUUAAAGGGUGCGUAGGUGGGUAGGUAAGUCAGUGGUGAAAUCUCCGAGCUUAACUCGGAAACUGCCAUUGAUACUAUCUAUCUUGAAUAUCCUGGAGGUGAGCGGAAUAUGUCAUGUAGCGGUGAAAUGCGUAGAUAUCAAGAGGAACACCUGAGGUGAAGACGGGUUGCUGGGCUGACACUGACGCUGAGGCGCGAAAGCCAGGGGAGCAAACGGG